GAUGAACGCUGGCGGCGUGCCUAAUACAUGCAAGUCGAGCGAACAGACGAGGAGCUUGCUCCUCUGACGUUAGCGGCGGACGGGUGAGUAACACGUGGAUAACCUACCUAUAAGACUGGGAUAACUUCGGGAAACCGGAGCUAAUACCGGAUAAUAUAUUGAACCGCAUGGUUCAAUAGUGAAAGACGGUUUUGCUGUCACUUAUAGAUGGAUCCGCGCCGCAUUAGCUAGCUGGUAAGGUAGCGGCUUACCAAGGCAACGAUGCGUAGCCGACCUGAGAGGGUGAUCGGCCACACUGGAACUGAGACACGGUCCAGACUCCUACGGGAGGCAGCAGUAGGGAAUCUUCCGCAAUGGGCGAAAGCCUGACGGAGCAACGCCGCGUGAGUGAUGAAGGUCUUCGGAUCGUAAAACUCUGUUAUUAGGGAAGAACAAAUGUGUAAGUAACUAUGCACGUCUUGACGGUACCUAAUCAGAAAGCCACGGCUAACUACGUG
rnacentral:rRNA from 1 species